rnacentral:rRNA from 1 species
GUUACUCGCGCAGCUACCAUGCAGUCGAGCGGUAACAGGGGUAGCUUGCUACCCGCUGACGAGCGGCGGACGGGUGAGUAAUGCAUAGGAAUCUGCCCGAUAGUGGGGGAUAACCUGGGGAAACCCAGGCUAAUACCGCAUACGUCCUACGGGAGAAAGGGGGCUCCGGCUCCCGCUAUUGGAUGAGCCUAUGUCGGAUUAGCUAGUUGGUAAGGUAAUGGCUUACCAAGGCAACGAUCCGUAGCUGGUCUGAGAGGAUGAUCAGCCACAUCGGGACUGAGACACGGCCCGAACUCCUACGGGAGGCAGCAGUGGGGAAUAUUGGACAAUGGGGGCAACCCUGAUCCAGCCAUGCCGCGUGUGUGAAGAAGGCCCUCGGGUUGUAAAGCACUUUCAGCGAGGAAGAACGCCUAUCGGUUAAUACCCGGUAGGAAAGACAUCACUCGCAGAAGAAGCACCGGCUAACUCCGUGCCAGCAGCCGCGGUAAUACGGAGGGUGCAAGCGUUAAUCGGAAUUACUGGGCGUAAAGCGCGCGUAGGUGGCUUGAUAAGCCGGUUGUGAAAGCCCCGGGCUCAACCUGGGAACGGCAUCCGGAACUGUCAGGCUAGAGUGCAGGAGAGGAAGGUAGAAUUCCCGGUGUAGCGGUGAAAUGCGUAGAGAUCGGGAGGAAUACCAGUGGCGAAGGCGGCCUUCUGGACUGACACUGACACUGAGGUGCGAAAGCGUGGGUAGCAAACAGGAUUAGAUACCUGGGGUAG